rnacentral:rRNA from 1 species
UACGUAGGGUCCGAGCGUUGUCCGGAAUUAUUGGGCGUAAAGGGCUCGUAGGCGGUCUGUUGCGUCGGGAGUGAAAACUUACAGCUUAACUGUGAGCGUGCUUUCGAUACGGGCAGACUUGAGGCAUUCAGGGGAGAACGGAAUUCCUGGUGUAGCGGUGAAAUGCGCAGAUAUCAGGAGAACGAGCCGGUAGGCGAAGGCGGUUCGUCCUUGGGAAGUGAUCCUGACGGCUGGAGGAAGC